rnacentral:rRNA from 1 species
UACGUAGGGACCGAGCGUUGUCCGGAUUCAUUGGGCGUAAAGAGCUCGUAGGCGGCUAUUCAAGUCGAACGUGAAAUCUCGGAGCUCAACUCCGAAACUGCGUUCGAUACUGGGUAGCUAGAGUCUGGUAGGGGGAUCUGGAAUUCCUGGUGUAGCGGUGGAAUGCGCAGAUAUCAGGAGGAACACCGGUGGCGAAGGCAGCCCCCUGGGUCAAGAUUGACGCUCAUGCACGAAAGCGUGGGGAGCAAACAGG